GUUCGGGUAACAAAAUCUGAUAGCCCAAGUGGUUGUUUGGUAAUCCUAAUGGACCUUCUUUGAGGAGUGAUGAUAGGUAGAGCAGGCAUACUGAUUGAUGGAGCAGGUUCAGGCAAAGCAGCAGGUGCAACAUAAUUAGUAGAUGAAGCAUCCUCAAUAAAUGCAUCCUCAACAGGGAUAUUGCCAACCAUAUCAGAAGUAAUAUAAGAAGAAUCAACUAUUUUCUUAAAAGGAAACUGAUUCUCAUGAAAUGCAACAUCCCUAUUGACAAAGAACUUUUGAUUUGCAAUAUCAUAUAAUAUGUAACCCUUAGUUAUACUGGAAUACCCCAUAAACACUGCCUUCAAUGCUCUAGGAACAAAUUUAUCAACUUUAGGCAGUGUACUAGCGAAGCACAAACAACCAAGUGUUCUUAAGUGAGAAAGAUUUAGUUUCUUCUUAAAAAACACUUCAUAAGGUGACUUACCUCCAAGUGUUUGGGAUGGCAAUCUAUUGAUGAUGUAUACUGCUGUAAGAAUACAAUGACCCCAAAACUUAGGGGGACUAUGACCCUAAAAUCUGAGUGCUCUAGCUAGCUCAAGUAAAUGCCUGUGCUUCCUCUCAGCCACACCAUUUUACUGAGGGGUAUGAUCACAGGUUUUAUAAUGGAUGAUUUAAUUUUUUGAAUAACUCUUGCGUGUGAGUACUCAUAAAUUCAUAUCCAUUAUAAAUUCUCACACCCUUAACAGUAGCAUUGAAUUGAGUAUGAAUCAUGGAAAAAAACUAUUUAAGGAUUAUCAAUAGAUCACAUUUAAAUUUGAGCAAGAAAACCUAUGUAAUUCUGGAGAAGUCGUCAACAACUGUAAGGAAGAAUCUAUUUCCAUCAAAAGUCUGUGUGCUAUAAGGACCCCAUACAUCUAAAUGCAAUAAAACAAAUGCAUCAGUUGAUUUAGUAGUACUACUAGAAAAAAAUCUGGCAUGCCUAGCUAAAGGGCAUAUUUCACAGGUGCUCAAGGUUGAUUCGCAUUUAUCCAGUGUGUAGCCAAACAUAUUUUUUAUUGAUCCUAUUAAGGCAUGUCCUAAUCUCCUAUGCCAUAAUAAAAUGUCCUUUUCAUCACUAUGAGUACUGUAUGCUUUAACAUUGUCAUCACUAGCAGCAUGUGUCCUAGAGGCUUUAGUGUUAUUCAAAAAGUAGAGACCAUCAAGCUCCUUACCAAUCGCAAUCAAUUUCUAACUGGAAAGGACCUAGAGCAGACAAAAUACAGGGUAAAAUGAUACAAAACAACUAAGCUCUAUAGUUACCUUGGAAACUGAUAAACGAUUAUACUGAAAAUAUGGAACGCACAAUACAUUCUCCAACUUUCCUGAAUCAGCGACCAGGCAAUUACAAGUAUAUGUUACCAAAGUGACCCCUCCAUUUGGUAGAUAUGCUUUUUUAUUUUGAUUCGACUCUAUUAAAUGUGUAUUAGUCAAUAAAUUCAAACUUGAGGCCAUAUGAUUUGUUGCUCUACUGUCAACUAUCCAUUUCAAUUCUUCUAUAUUAACUAUGGGAGUAUGAGCAAUACCUACCAUACCUGCCAUAUUAGCCUUUAUAGUUGUGUGUGCAAUAUCUUUUUCUAUCAUAUGGAUGAUAUAUGUAUAUUUCUCCCCUGUUAAACAAGGUUCCCGUGGUAAAUCACCUGCAGUGAACCUUUCAAUCAUUUGUCCAUUCCCUUUAUCUGCUGGUUGCGUAUAGUGAUGAGAACCUUUAGCUUAUACAUUAUAGGUAGCGUUUUUCACAUGUCCCUUCUUCUUGUGUUUCUAAUCAGGUAAGUAACCAUGUAACUUGAAGCAGUUCGCUGCAAUAUGUCCCUUUAAUUUGUAAAAGUCACAUUGUAGUUCUCAACUUAGCUUUCCUUUUUGGUAGUGGUGGUGAGAAUUUUGUCCGCAAUUGUAGUGAGAUUUAUCGCCUCUCCCAUCCAUUAAUUUUGCUAGUUCAGUGCCUUCACCAGUCAUAGAAGAACUAGUACCCAUUGAACACUGACUUUCUUGUUCCAUAAGCAUAGCAUAGGCUUUGUUAAGAGUGGGAGUUGGAUCAGUCAACAAAAUCUGGCCAUGAGCUUGAUAGUAUGUCUCAUUCAGACCUAUGAGAAACUGUAUUAACUUUUAUUAAACAAUAUGUGCACAAAAAUCUCUAGAUCUAGGGAAAUCAUAGGGUGGUGGUAUGAUACUAUCAAAUUCAUCCCACAAAUUGCACAAUUUCAAAAAAUAUUUAGGAAUAUUAUCAUUUCCUUGAACUUUAGAUGCUAUAUCCUCAUGCAAUUGAUAAAUUCGCGAUGUGUUUACUUUAUCAAAGCGUUCACGCAGGUCAUCCCAAACUGCCUUUGCACUCGUAGCAUAGACAAUUCCAGUAUGCAAUUUCGGUGUAAUAGAACUCAUAAUCCAUCCCUGGACUACUGCAUUACAAUGAUCCCACUGGUGCCCUAACUCCUGUACGAAAUUCUCUCAUUUCUAGGUUCCAUCAACGAUUCCAACCUUGUUUUUCCAAAGCAAUUGGAUACACAAUUCCCUUCUUCAAAUGGAAUAAUUAUCAAAUCCAGUCAGUUGCAUCGGGAUAAUAGCAGUUCCCAUUGUAUCGGAGGAAUGUAAGAAAAGUGCAUGAUUGUGGUUAAAUUUCACCAUCUCCAUUGUUGAAGAUCCAACUGAACUAAAUGUCGAGGUUGGAAAUCGAACAAUUUUGUAGAAAAAAACAUAAUAUGUAGUUGUAAGGCUUUGAUACCAUGUUAAAAUUCAUCAAGAAAUUGAAUAAUUAAGCUCAUCACCAUUGGAGAAGUUGGUUGAGCUGAGAAAAGAGAAGAAAAAAGAAAUAUUAUUUCAUCAAAAAUAGUUAACCCCAAAAUACAAUGGUACAGUUCUUAUGUAGUGUAGUUGUUUUAUUCAUCUUUAAUAAAUCUUAUUUACCUAAUCCAAUUGACUUAUACUAAUUACACAUUUUCCCCUUGUACAUCAAGUUAUUCCUAUCUCAUUACUCCCCUCAAGCUAGAGGGUGCAAAAAUAUUCAACAUUCCUUGCUUGCUAAGUAAACUUUCCUGUUGUGAUCUAGACAAUCCUUUAGUCAAUAUAUCUACCAUUUGAUCCUUAGAUCUUACAUGUUCAGUCCUUAUCAUCCUAUCUUAUAUCUUCUGCCAAAUGAAGUAGAAGCCAAUCUCUAUGUAUUUUGUUAUUUUAUGAAACACAAGGUUGGCUACUAUUUGUAAGGCUUCUCUGCUAUUACUGAAUACUACUACUGGUUCUGUUGUAUCAAUCCCCAAUUUCUUUUGUAAAGCUGUGAUCCAUAUGACUUCUGAAAUUGUACUAGCCAUGUGUCUGUACUUAGAUCUUGAUAAACACCUAGAUACUACAAUUUGCUUCUUGGAUUUCAAUGAUAAUAAAGUAUCACCAUGUUUUAUUACGAAUCCUGAAAAUGAUGUUCUAGUAUUUGGACAUGAUGUCCAAUCUGCAUUACAUAACACCCUUAGUUGAUUUGGUCUUCUUUUACUGAUAAGUAUUCCAAGCCUUGGUGCCCUUUUUAUGCAUCUCAUCACUCUAACUACUGCUUCCCAGUGUGAUCUUUUAGGUUGCUACAAAAAUUGACUAAGUGUUUGGACUGAGUAUGCAAUGUCUGGUCAGGUUAAUGUCAAAUACAACAUCCUUCCUAUCAGUCUUUGAUACUAUUGUUUGUUUUUAAGAGUUUCAUCAUUAGUCUUAUUUGUCAAGCUGUCCAGUUCUUCUGUUGUAAGUUUGAGAUUUGUUUCAAAUGGGGUCCAUGUUGGUUUAGCGUUUCUAAGUCCCAAGUCUGACAAGAUUUCUAGUGAAUAUUUUCUUUGAUUGACUAGAAUUCCCUUUGCUGGUCUACUUAACUCUAUACCAAGGAAAAAUUUCAGUUCACCAAUGUCCUUAAUUUUGAACACUGCAUUCAAUGAAGACUUGGUGUAUUCUAUAAGAGUCAAGUUGCUACCAGUCACCAAUAUGUCAUCAACAUACACAAGUAUAACCACUAUAUCUGACCCUUUUCUUUUGAUAAACAAGGAUUGAUGAAGAGAGCUUUGAGUAAAACCAGAUUUAAGCAAAGCUUCACACAAUUUGAGAUUCCAUUGUCUACUUGCUUGCUUGAGUUCAUAUAGGUAUUUCACAAGUCUACAUACUAAACCAAACUCCUCUUGACUAGGAAAUCCCUCAGGCAAUUAUAUAUAAACCUCAUCGUGUAAGUCCUCCUGUAAGAAAGCAUUAUAAAUAUCUAAUUGAUGUAUAGACCAGUCACCUUGAACAACGAGAGAAAGAACUAUUCUAACUGUGGCAAUUUUCACCACAGGUAAAAAAGUUUCAUGAGAAUCAAGACCUUUCUUGUAAUUGUAACUUUUGGCCACUAGUCUAUCCUUUAACCUCUUAACCUCACUAUUAGCCUUAAACUUGACUUUAUACACCUACUUACAACCAAUGACAACCUUACCUUGAGGCAAUGGAACCAAAUCCAAGGUGUGAUUGUCUUGUAAAGCUGGAAUUUCAAAUUGCAUGGCUUCAAUAUAUCUACUAUCAGAAGCAGCUUCUUGGUAAGAUCUAGGCUCAUGUAUAGCAAAAAAAUAACCAAGAUAAGACUGAUAUGAGGAGGAAAGAUUAGCAUAAGAAACAUAGUCAUGAAGGGGAUAAGUAGCAGAAUUGGUAGAGGAUCGGGUAACAUAAUACGAUAGCCAAAGUGGUUGCUUAGUAAUCCUGUUGGACCUUCUUUGAUAAGUGAUGAUAGGCGGAGCACAUGUACUGGUUGAAGGAGUAGGUUCAGGUGAAGCAGCAAGUGCAACAUGAUUAGUAGAUGAAGCAUCCUCAAUAAAGACAUCCUUAAGAGAGAUAUUGCAACCAUAUUAGAAGUAAUAUGAGAGGAAUCAGGCAUUAUCUUAAAAGGAAAUUGAUUCUCAUGAAAUGCAACUUCCCUAUUCACAAAGAACUUUUGAUUCACGAUAUCAUAUUAUAUGUAUCCCUUAGUUACCCUGAAAUACCCCAUAAACACUGCCUUCACUGCUUUAGGAGCAAAUUUAUCAACUCUAGGCAGUGUACUAGGGAAGCACAAACAACCAAGUGCUCUUAAGUGAGCAAGAUUUGGUUUCUUCUUAAAAAAAACUUCAUGAGGUAACUUACCUCCAAGUGUUUUGGAUGGUAAUCUAUUGAUGAUGUAUACUGCUGUAAGAAUACAAUGACCCCAAAACUUAAGGGGAAUAUGACCUUGAAUCUGAGUGCUCUGGCUAGCUCAAGUAAAUGCCUAUGCUUCCUCUCAGCCACACCAUUUUACUGAGGGAUAUGAGCACAGGUUUUAUAAUGAAUGAUCCUUAAUUUUUUGAAAAAAUCUUCCAUGUGAGUACUCACAAAUUCACCUCUUUUAUCAGCUCUCACACCCUUAAUAGUAGCAUUGAAUUAAGUAUGAAUCAUGGGAAAAAACUGUUUAAGAAUUAUCAAUACAUCAUAUUUAAGUUUGAGCAAGAAAACCCAUGUAAUUCUGGAGAAGUGGUCAACAACUGUAAGGAAGAAUAUAUUUCCAUCAUAAGUUUGUGUUCUAUAAGGACCCCAUACAUCUAAAUGCAAUAAAGCAAUGCAACAGUUGAUUUAUUAGUACUACUAGGAAAAAAGAAAUCUGACAUGCCUAGCUAACGGGCAUAUUUCAUAGGUGCUCAAGGCUGAUUUGCAUUUAUCCAAUGUGUAGCUAAACAUACCUUUUAUUGAUCCUAUUGAAGCAUGUGCUAAUCUCCUAUGCCAUAAUAAAAUGUCCUUUUCAUCACUAUGAGCACUGCAUGCUUUAACAUUGUCAUCACCAGUAGUAUCAUGUGUCCUAGAGGCUUUAGUGUGAUUCAAAAUGUAGAGACCAUCAAGAUCCUUACCAAUAGCCAUUAAUUUCCCACUAGAAAGGUUCUGGAACAGAAAAAAUCCUGGGUAAAAUGAUACAAAAUAGCUAAGCUCUCUAGUUACCAUGGAAACUGAUAAUAGAUUAUACUGAAAAUAUGGAACGUAAAUACAUUCUCCAACUUUCCUGAAUCAGCGACCAUGCAAUUACCAGUAUGUGUUACCAAACCCUCCAUUUGGUAGAUAUACUUUUAUAUUUUGAUUUUUCUUUAUUUAAUGUGUAUUAG
rnacentral:lncRNA from 1 species